UACGGGGGGGGCAAGCGUUGUUCGGAAUUACUGGGCGUAAAGGGCUCGUAGGCGGCCAACUAAGUCAGACGUGAAAUCCCUCGGCUUAACCGGGGAACUGCGUCUGAUACUGGAUGGCUAGAGGUUGGGAGAGGGAUGCGGAAUUCCAGGUGUAGCGGUGAAAUGCGUAGAUAUCGGGAGGAACACCAGUGGCGAAGGCGACUUCCUGGCCUGUUCUUGACGCUGAGGCGCGAAAGCUAGGGGAGCAAACGGG
rnacentral:rRNA from 1 species